GAGGGUAUAGCUCAGUGGUAGAGUGCAUGCUUAGUAUGCAGAAGGUCCUGGAUUUAAUCUUCAGCACCUCCA
rnacentral:tRNA from 1 species